GCUUCCAUCCUCGUAUAACUCUUUGCAAAUCCUCGCCGGAAUCCUCGCCGGCAGGAAAUGCCAUCUUCAGCGUUCCCACCCAAAAUAACACCACCAACACUCAUCGAUACCCUCAUUCCAAAUAUCAUAUUGGCUUCCUUCGAAUCACAGUCAGACUGUCCGAAUCUUCGAUUGAAAUUGUCGGGCCAAGUCAAAACUCGCCCAAUCGGGUCCAAAUUCACGCCACUAGACCUUCCCCUCCGCCUCAUCACCAAUCUAUCAAGGGUCUCCUUCAAAUCAGUCUGCAACGCCUCGAAUUUUCAUUCAAAGAUGGCAGUCAAGUCCUUAGGUCCUCCGUUUGGUCUCAAAUUAACAUGCCAAGGUCGCCUCGUCUCCUCGUGAAGAAUCGGCCCUUGGCGAGUGUCAAAUACCACCAAGACUUCACAAACUAUGAACCAAUUUGCAAGCAGUGAGUCCUUCUUUGUUUUUUUCAGUUUCUCAUUUUAUCUGUUAAUCGAAGUUAGUUUCCUAAUAAGUUUGAUUGCCAGUUUAAUGUUGGUCCAAUUCCGCUAUGAGUUUAAUUCCCAUGUUUGCUUAACUUAUUUGAAUUUUGUCUUAUUCAGUUUUAGUUUGUCAAAUGUUGGUCUAAUCGUAGGUAUUAGUUUAGUUCUAGUUAACUCAGUCAAUUAGCUUCAGUUGAAUAUCAUUCUCGCAAACUAUUUUUCCCAGUUAGAUUUUCAGUCCAAUGUUGCUCUUAAUAUUAAUGUUGAUGCAUUUUGAUAAUUAGUCGACCCAUAAUUAUUCAUUGCAAUCUGUUUUCAACAUCUUGAUUAGGUAACUCAAAUGUUAGUUUUCUUUAAUGACUCAGUGUGAUUAGUUUUCGAUUUCAAUUAGAGUUGUAGGGCUGAUUUGGUUAUAGCUGAAUGGUUUUAGUUGGGUAAUAAGAGGGGUGGUAAAGGGUAUUUUAGGAUUUAGGUAUAGGGAAUAUUUUUGUUAUGUAGGAAGGUUCUAUUAGAUAAGGUUGUAAAGGCAUGUGAGGAGUGAGGAGAGAGUGGCAGCUCUUAUCUGGGGGAGGAAUGGGUUUUAUUUCAUAAUUAGAAGUUAACUUAGGGGUGAAUUUUAAUAAAAGAAAAUUUAAAAAUGAUGAAACAGAAAAUUUAGGGCAGCCCUCCCUUAGGCCUAUAAAAAGGCAUCAAAUUGCCUUGAAGAGCAAGUUUUGGCAACCUAAAAAUUCCCCAAAAUAUUCCCCAAAGCUUCCAGAUCUGGAAUUGAAACUUCAGAUCUGAAAUUCUCUUAGAUUUUAACUUCUUCAAAAGGAAAAACCAAAAACAAGCAAAAUUCAAAAACAAAAAAUCAAAAUGGCUUACUAUCUCAUUAAGCCAUGGCAGACUCGAGUUUAAUUUUCAACUAACACCUUCAUAUCUGCUAGUUUUAGCUGAAUUGAAGUUGUCUGGUAUAUCUCGGUUGGGUUUUGCAUUUGCUGAGUUUGAUUUGGGCUUGAUUUUGAAUUUUCUGAGUUGUUCGGGUCACCUGGAUGUGUACUGGAGUAGUUUUGUAGCUUACAUCUCCUGUUUGACUAUAUUCAACUUCCAUUGAGUCUAUUGGUUUGGUUAUUUUCUACUGCUGUUGAAUUUCAUUUCUGGGCUGUGAUUCUUGUGUUUGGUUGCUCAUAGCUGCGUUAGACUGUUGCUGACUACUUCAUUUUCCUUUUGCCAUUCAAACAUUCAGGUACUCGAUCUCAAUUCUAGCUUGAUGUAAUCAAAGGAGAAAUGCUAUAAAGUAUUCACUCAUAUGCUUGUUUAGUUCAAUUCUGACUUGUAUUCACCAUUGGAUUGUUAAGUCGUAUUUGACUAAUUGUAAUACUCACGGACUGUACACAUUUUGAUACAUAAUACAUGAAGUGUAGUAUGAGCCCUACUUACAUAAAUAACUGGCACAAGAUGGCAUGAGUAGAAUCGCUCAAGUCUAUAUUGAUAGGUUACAUUGAAUUAGUGUUUUGCUUGUUUUUUUUGUUUUAGUUAAUUGAUGAAUUUCAAAAGGUCACAUGAACCAGG
rnacentral:lncRNA from 1 species